rnacentral:lncRNA from 1 species
UUCUUCAGCAACCUGCUUGCCUUUGGACUACCGUGAAGAGAUUUCAUUUUGCUUGCGCUUUUUGGGCACUAGAGAGGUGGUGGAGGGCUUUCCAACGCUUUUGCCUUUUCUAGUGAUAUGAUGCACCAUUGUAUCCUGCAACACAAGUAAACAUGAUUGUGAGAAUGAUUCAAGAAAUAUGCCUAAGGUUAUCGUGCAAGUCAUGGAAUGACCCCACACUGAAAACCGAAGGCACAAGUAUACUUGUUGUACCUCAAAGCGAUGGGUACUCAAGAAUUCCCCAUGCUACACAAUAAUGAUUGAUCAUGGCAACGUGAAUUCUCAAUAAGGUAAGAAAAAAGACAUAGGGAAUGCACCUUUCACAAAUACUAAAUUAUACUAAAGGAGGCUUAAUUAGAUGCAAACAAAAUGGUGCAGGAACAUGUUCUACAUUAAAACCACAUCCCUUAGCAUUUAAAGGUGUCCCUCCACCACACACUUAGCCCUAAUACAUACACAACUUCGUCCGGUUACUCAGACUUCACCGGGCACUACAAAUCCUCUUUCAUGCAUUUAAACAAACACAUUGCGGGCGUGAAGUGUGUUCUAAGAAUUCAACAGUAGUGGAGAAUGGUGGUCCUCCCAAUUUUUCAACGAAGUAGAGGGACUGCUAGUUUACUACUCCAUAUACAAAUCCAUACAUAGAAUUUUCGACCACAACACAUCACACACCAAAAGUUUUCAUAAGAACUACAUGUGAAAGACAAUGGAGAAUUAGGUCUCUUGGGAAUGGGGUUAAUUGUUACCUACUAGUUAAAACACACAAGAAAUAGAUGAGAAGAAGAAGAUACCUGGGGAGAGGUUGGAAGAAAGAGAGAUGAAGGAUAUUUUUUUUUGUUUUGAAAUAUCGCGUGCAACAGAGACGAAGAAGUCGCGGGUAGAGCUACAGAGUUUUUGUUUUCUUAGUUUGAUGAGGGUAGCAGGUUUGUGUGUUUAGUGUUCUUGGGUUGUUUGUGUUUGGG